rnacentral:rRNA from 1 species
ACCAAAACUGGGUAUCCCUUAGUACGGCGAGUGACGCGGGAUGAGCUCAAAUUUAAAAUCUGGCGUCUUUCAAGCCUUCGAGGUGUAAUCUAUAGAGGCGUUUUCCGCGCCGCACCGCGUCCAAGUCUCUUGGAAGAGAGUAUCAGAGAGGGAGACAAUCCCGUACUUGACGCGACAACCGGUGCUCUGUGAUACGUUCUCAAAGAGUCGAGUUGUGUGGGAAUGCAUCUCUAAAUGGGUGGUAUAUUCCAUCUAAGGCAAAAUAUUGGCGAGAGACCGAUAGCGAACAAGUACCGUGAGGGAAAGAUGAAAAGCACUUUGAAAAGAGAGUUAAACAGCACGUGAUAUUGUUAAAAGGGAAACGAUUGACGUCAGUCGUGUGAAAGGUAUUCAGCCGUCUCUGGCGGUGUAUUUGCCUUUCACGGGUCAACAUCAGUUUGAUCCGGUAGAAAAAGGCGGGAGGAAGGUGGCACCCUCGGGUGUGUAAUAGCCUCCUGUCAUAUGUGCCGGACCAGACUGAAGAACGCAACUUGCCUCAAGGCCGGGGUUCGCCCACGUACAAGCUUAGGAUGUUGACAUAAUGGCUUUCAACGACCCGUCUUGAAACACGGGACCAA